rnacentral:tRNA from 2 species
GACCCCUUGGUCAAGUGGUUAAGACACUGCCCUUUCACGGCAGUAACAUGGGUUCAAAUCCCGUAGGGGUCA